rnacentral:rRNA from 1 species
GACGAACGCUGGCGGCGUGCCUAAUACAUGCAAGUCGAGCGGAAGUUGAAGAGCUUGCUCUUCAACUUUAGCGGCGGACGGGUGAGUAACACGUGGGCAACCUGCCCUGCAGAUCGGGAUAACUCCGGGAAACCGGUGCUAAUACCGAAUAGUUUUCGCCACCUCCUGGUGGCGUACGGAAAGACGGUUUCGGCUGUCACUGCAGGAUGGGCCCGCGGCGCAUUAGCUAGUUGGUGGGGUAACGGCCCACCAAGGCAACGAUGCGUAGCCGACCUGAGAGGGUGAUCGGCCACACUGGGACUGAGACACGGCCCAGACUCCUACGGGAGGCAGCAGUAGGGAAUCUUCCGCAAUGGACGAAAGUCUGACGGAGCAACGCCGCGUGAGUGACGAAGGUUUUCGGAUCGUAAAACUCUGUUGUGAGGGAAGAACAAGUACCACUUAACUACUGGUACCUUGACGGUACCUCACCAGAAAGCCACGGCUAACUACGUGCCAGCCGCCGCGGUAA